AAUAUUGCGCAAUGGAGGGAACUCUGACGCAGCGACGCCGCGUGAGCGAUGAAGGUCUUCGGAUCGUAAAGUCCUGUCCUUGGUGAAGAAGGUCUUCGGCCUUGACGGUACCUAAGGAGGUAGCCCCGGCUCACUACGUGCCAGCAGCCGCGGUAAUACGUCGGGGGCAAGCGUUGUCCGGAAUUACUGGGCGUAAAGCGCGCGCAGGCGGUUCGGCAAGAAGGAUGUGAAAUCCCAGGGCUUAACCUUGGAACUGCAUUCUUAACUGCCGGGCUAGAGUAUGUCAGAGGGGGGUAGAAUUCCGCGUGUAGCAGUGAAAUGCGUAGAGAUGCGGAGGAAUACCGAUGGCGAAGGCAGCCCCCUGGGAUAAUACUGACGCUCAUGCACGAAAGCGUGGGGAGCAAAC
rnacentral:rRNA from 1 species